rfam:Ipomoea nil DNA, scaffold: scaffold1292, cultivar: Tokyo-kokei standard.
CGACCCAGUCAGGCGGAUUACCCGAUUCAACAUAUGCAAUAAGCGAGGAACAAGAAAACUUACAAGGAUCCCCCUAAUAACGCGACGAAAACGCGGAACAAUGCCCAACACCUUAGAAUCGACAGCCACCCGGGCCGUUCGAAUGUAGUCUAGAAACGUCCUCAACGGCGACCGGGGCCCAGCCCUCGGAAAGGGCCAGGUCGGAGAGGGUUCGAGAGCCCCGUCGUGCCCGGCCCUGUCGCACCCACGAGGCGCUUGUCUACAAAAGCUGUCCGGGUUGUUUGGGAAUCAGCGCCAAUCGGGUGAAAUUCCGUCCAAGGCUAACAUACGGGCGGAGACGAUAGGCGAACAAAGUACCAGCGAGGGAAAAUAAAAGAGACUGCUUUGAAAACAAGCAAAGAGCGCUUGAAAUUGUCCGGGCAAGGAAUCGAUGGAACUGCAAGCGCCCGUAGCAUGUGACACGUGAGAGCCGUCCGCCGAAUCUACGCGGCGCGGACCCAGCGAGAUCGGCGCCAAACCGGCCUUUGAUACGCCCGCGAACGUCGUCUCUUGGAUCGUGGAAGUACUCGCCGCCCUGGCGCCCUCGCACCUGCAGCGCGUCCGGCGCUGGGCCUGGGCCUCUCCAUUCCGACCCUCUGAAACACGGACCAAGGAGUCGACAUGUGUGCGAGCAACGCGAUAAACCCGUAAGCCGCAAAGGGAACUGAAUUGGCGAUCUCCCCUCACGGGGGUGCACCGCCGACCCGACCUGAUCUUUCGAGAAGGAUUCGAGGCGAGCAUACCUGUCGGACCCGAAAGAAUGUGAACCUUGCUGAGCGGCAAGCCAGAGAAAACUCGUGAGGCACGCAAGCGAUACCACUGCAAACUUCUCUGACUGAGUAUAGGCGAAAGAACUAGAUCGACCGCUAUAACUCCCCCGAAAGUUCCCCAGGAUAGGAGCGGCCGAGAUCUACUCGGAAUAGCCAAUGAUUAAGCAUCGGGGCGUAACGCCUCUGACCUAUUCUCAAACUUAGAGAAUAGUAGACGGCGGCUGCUUCGUGACCGCGUCCAUACGGAAUGCAACACUCGCAAGUGGUCAUUUUUGGUAAAGAACUGCGCGAUGCGGGAUGAACCGGAAGCCGGGUUACGUGCUAAGCAACUGCGCGCUAAACCUAUAUCCACAAAGGUGUUGGUCAUAAGACACAGGACGGUGGUCAUGAAGUCGAAAUCCGCUAAAGGAGUGUUAACACAACCACCUGCACGAACAACUAACCCCCCGAAAAUGGAUGGCGCUAAGCCGCGCAAACCUUACCCCCGCGGCAAGACUGCCCCGAUGAGUAGAGCGCGCGCGCUGCAGAAUCCUCUGGCGCGAGCCCGGCGUCAGCGGCCGUCGGUGCAGAUCUGGUGUAGUAAGCAAAUAUCUCAAAUGAGAAGCUUUGAAGGCCGAAGAAGGGAAAGUUCCAUGUGAACCGCCAACUAUGCGACAGGGUUAGUCGAAUCCUAAGUCGGGGAAGCCCGACAGACAGCGCGUUUGCGCCCCCGGUCGCCGAAAGGGAAUCGAUAAACUUCCUGAACCGCACGUGGCGUUGCCGGCAACGUAGGAUACGGAACGUCGCGCUGGGGCCGCGGAAGAGUAUCUUUUCUGUUAAGCAGCUGCUGCCCACGCCUGAAACGCUCAGCCGAGGUAGGUCAGCGGCUGGAAAUGCACCGCACGUCGACUGUGUCCGUGGCGCCCUGGGCGCCCUUGAAAAUCCUCGGAAGGACCGAGUGCCCUUCCACAGCCCGUCGUAUCCACAUCCACCCAUCAGUCUCACUAAGCGAACAGCCUCUGCCAAUCGAACAAUGUAGGCAAUGAAAUUAGGCAAAAUGGAUCCCGUAACUUCCGGCACAAAGAUUGCUCUGAGGGCUGGCCGGGGGUCAGUCGAACCCGUCGGCUCGGCGACUGCUCGAUCUGCUAACCGGCCGAGAGCGGCGCCGCGUGCCGGCCGGGACGGACUGGAACGCCUUUCGGGGCCUUCCCGGCUCGAACAGCCAACCAGAACUGUACGAAAAAGUAAUCACGACUGUAAUAAAACAAACAAUGCGAUGUCCCUCGAGCCAAACGCAAUGUCAUCUGCCCCAGCUCUCGAAUGUCAAAAGGACGGAAAUGUACAACGUCAAGCGCGGAAACGCGGAGUAAACUUAUGACCUUAAGAAGCCAAAUGCUCCGUCAUCUAAUAGUGAACGCGUCAUGAAUGGAUAACGAAAAUUAACCACGUCCCUGCUACUAUCCAGCGAACCAACAGCCAAAGGGAACACGGUCUUGCAAGAAUCACGGAAAAGAAGACCCUGUGAGGCUGACCUAGUCGGACUUGGAAAUGCUUGCCCAGCCAGCCCACAGUGAGGAUAAGUGGAGCCGAAAGGCGAAAGGAAAUACCACUACUUUAAAACUUAGUUACUAUUCUGAAUCGGAGGCGGGCAUUGCCCCCUUUUGACCAAGCUCGCUUGGAGCCGACCCGGUGAAACAUUGCUCAUGGGAGUUUCGCUGGGGCGCACACUGUUAAAAGAUAACGCAAGUUCCUAAAGAUGAGAACUCAACGAGCACAGAAAUCUCGUGGACACAGAAGGGUAGAAAGCUCGUUGACUUCAUGAUUUCCUAGUACGAAUACGAACCGUGAAAGCGUGCCUACUAACACCUUUAACCGACGAGAU